CGUUACCAAAACCGUCUAAAACGAUCUCGAUUCCUCUCACUCUUCUUCUGCAACGAACAAGAAGCAGCGGCUUCAGCCUCUCACUCUCUAGAAUUUUCUCUCUCUGCAAGUCUCGCUUUCCUCUCUCUCCAGCUUCACCUCUCCGGGAGCAACUCAAGGAGCAACUUUUUAUGGGGUCAGGGUUGCUGCGACUGUCAGUUGAGCUUGAAGUUUGAGGAUGCGAGCUGUGGUUUAGGGGUUAUAAUUGUAAGUUAGAGUUUUUUGUAUUUUGAGGAUGGGUUCUGCUUGUUGUGUUGCUGCUAGAGACAAGACUGUAACAAACAGAGCUAAUAGCGAAAUUGUGCAUCGUAAUAUGCGGUACUCACCAACUUGGAGCUUUCGGUGGGAUAACCGGGUGGGGGUGGCAGCUGAAGAGACCUCUGUAAGUUGGUUUUCUGAUGGUGUUAGCAGAAAUGAUGGAUCAGAAGUUAAAUUUGAGUCGGCAUGUGUAUCUGAGGAGGGAAGUCCACUGGAACAUUUUCGAAGACAUACGGCGCAAAAAUCUUCAGUAUCUGAGGGAACUGCCGGGCAUGUCCGGACUCCUGCUUCAGAUCAAUCCAUUUCAAGAAAUAUUUCCAUGGAUGCAAGUCUUGAGCAGGUAAAAGAGUCAGAAGAGUCCCCUACUGUUUCAUAUCCAUCCCCAACAAAAUUAUCAAUUUCGUUGCCUUCUACUUCAUCCUUGUCGGCAUCCCCUUUGUCAUCCCAGAGUCACCUGCCUCCUCCGAGCUCAACUCCAUUGAGGUGGCCCCGCUGUUCUCCAGGACAUCAGCUAUUAAGGCAAGUAUCUGAUGGCCGAGUCCCAGGAAACAAGUCACCCAACAGCUUCUCAAUUUCUGAAGAUAAGGCAAGGCCUCCCUCAUGGAGCAAUGAAUCUGCUAGGGGCUCCCGUGGUGGUUCUUCUGAUAGUUGGUCUAUGAAUGCAUUUUCCGAGCUCAUGGCCACAUCUAAUAGAGAAAGGUGGUCUUUUGAUAGCGAGUCCUUUGGCUUUAAUCGUGAAAAGAUAACUAGAUCCAGUAGCAGAGUUUCAGCUUCACCCUCUGUUGAUUCGCAGACGUGUGGGGUUUGCUCAAAGCUUUUGGGUGAGAAAUCUUCAUGGAGCAGCCAAAAGAUUAUUGCAACCAAUGAGCUUUCUGUGGUUUCAGUGUUAAUUUGUGGACAUGUUUAUCAUGCCGAGUGUUUGGAGAAUAUGACACCUGAAAUUAACAAGUAUGACCCAGCUUGCCCAGUUUGUACUUUUGGGGAGAAACAGAUCCACAAGUUGUCCGAAAAAGCAUUGAAAGCUGAAAUGGAUUUGAAGGCUAGAAACAAGAGAUCGAGGAACCGGGUGUUAGAUCUUGAUGGUGAUUCUGCUGUGUUUGAUCGCUUGAAAAGCAUUGGACAUCAAGGAAAGGAUCCGAAGUUGGGAUCCAGUUCCAGCAUGAAAAGCUCCUUGGGAAAGCCUUUUUUGAGACGGCGCUUCUCAUUUGGCUCCAAGAGCACUCGAGCCCUAUCGGAGAAUCAUUCUACUAGAAAGAAAGGGUUCUUCUGGGCCAAAUCCAGCAAGAUGUGAGCUCCCACUAAGAUGUUUGGGAGAUUCCGGUCUUGGUUCUACUUUUGCAAUCUCAGUUGGGCAAAAGGAUUGGGAAGAGUGCAUUUAUCAAGACAUUGUAAACAUCUGCACAACAGCAUCUUGACAUUCGACAAGUAAUUUUUUUUUGCAGGUGCUGCCCAUUUUAGUUGCCAGAUCUUUCUGUAAGUUUUGCCGUUUCGGAUGGUGACGGCGCAAUGGUGUGGAGCGAAGUAACAUGUACACGGUAAAGUGGUGAAAGUAGCGGGCAUGGUUGAGCUUUAUAAUCGAGUGUUGUUGGUCUGAACUUGUCCGUGCUGUUUCGGGUUAUAGCACGUAGUCGGGGGUGUGGUUUUAGGAUUUAGAGAACAUGUUGAGGAAUUGGAAUAUUACUUGAUUUUACAACUUAGCACUCCGUCAUCAUUAAAUUCACAGUUUUGCAACGUA